rnacentral:tRNA from 1 species
GGGGCCAUAGCUCAAUUGGUAGAGCACCUGCUUUGCAAGCAGGGGGUCGUCGGUUCGAACCGACUGGCUCCACCA